GUUUAGCCCCGAUAGAAGCGGUAUCCUUUUUUUGUUCGCUUUUGCGGGCAAAAAAAGAUUUAGCGAAUAGCGGGACGUCAU
rnacentral:sRNA from 3 species